rnacentral:rRNA from 1 species
GACGAACGCUGGCGGCGUGCUUAACACAUGCAAGUCGAGCGGUAAGGCCCUUUCGGGGGUACACGAGCGGCGAACGGGUGAGUAACACGUGGGUGACCUGCCCUCAGCUCUGGGAUAAGCCUGGGAAACCGGGUCUAAUACUGGAUAUGACUCCAUGACGCAUGUUGUGGGGUGGAAAGCCUUGUGCGGCUGAGGAUGGGCCCGCGGCCUAUCAGCUUGUUGGGUGGGGUGANGGCCUACCAAGGCGACGACGGGUAGCCGGCCUGAGAGGGCGACCGGCCACACUGGGACUGAGACACGGCCCAGACUCCUACGGGAGGCAGCAGUGGGGAAUCUUGCGCAAUGGGCGAAAGCCUGACGCAGCGACGCCGCGUGAGGGAUGACGGCCU